CACCAGUCCAGCUGCGCGCGCAGAUAGCAGCUGGUCGUUGUUAGUAUGGGCGGACUGCUCGUACGGUUAGAUUGUGACAUGCAUCUACACUGCCCAUGAUUUUUUUUGUUACUUAUUACAUUUUCUAGAUAAUAUAAAAAUUAGAUAUUUUUAUUGUUGUUUACUGGUUAAUGGAAGGGAAGCGCCGCUUCCACAGCUUCCAUGGACGCCUCGCCUCUGCGUGUACGGUACGCUGGAAUAAUUUGCCACAAAACCUUGUGGUGAGCGCGAGCGCCGAGCGAAGAGACAACAGAUGCUGACGCGGCAGGGGAACCGGCUCCAGCUCGCGGCGUGGGGCGUAGCGCGAAACUCGAACCCGAGGCGCCGCCCUCCGCCCCCGCCCCGACUGGCGAGGGAUCGUGUUUCCGGCAGAGAGGGCGCCCCGUCGACUGGAAGAGACCCCUGUGGCGCCACUGAGGAGAUGCUAUACACCGGUGCAUCGGUAUAGUGCAAGAGCUGGUGCAGGGCCCUGCCAGGCACGGGGCCUGGGUCUGGAGCCGCCCCUGUUCCCACCAACAAAAGGAAAGAAUUUGAAAGCAACAAAGUGAUUCUAUCCCCCUCACCGCAAUGGAAAUGGAAAUGGAAUUCUGGCAUUUACUUCCUCUCUCAUUUUGAUUAGUAAGCAUUUAUACUUGUGUUACGAGUGUGAGCAACAAUGUUUUUUAAUAAUGAAACGACAAAGUCAAAAAUGAAUGAACGAACUAGAACUUAACAUUGAACAGUCAUUUGAGACAAUAAGGAGUGAUGAUAAUGAAAAGAAAGAACACUGAUGGAAUAUACGGUUGGGUGAAAAGGGAGCACCUCUUGAAAAUUCACCUGCUGAUCAUGACAAUGUCCACGUUUCCCAUUUGCGAGAAAUCUGGCUAUUACCCCACCAGGAAUCUAAUCCACACCACUGUCAUGUGAGGCAUGUGAUUUGACCACUUUAUACCUACAUUUUUGUUGGGUAAAUCUGUUUCCCAAGUAGAAAAGGAGGGCUUGGGGAGGGGUAAAUGGGAGAAAGGUGAAGAAAGGCAAAAAUCAUGUAAAUUUUAAGACACAAAAUUAUGACACUGAAGAAUUAAUACAUAUGCAUUAGCAAACACAAAAUAGCAGUGUAACAUGUUACCCCUUAAAUAUUUUCAAAAUAAAUUUAGUGUUGUGACAUUAACCUUGAAACAAUCUUAAAAUAAAAUCAAGGUUUUUAUUCUACACUUCUAAUGAUUUCUACACAUAUCUACCACUACAGUAGAAAAUAAUUUUCUAUCCUCAGACUAAUCAUUCCAGAUUGACUGGUAUAGUUUUUAAGCUGGAUCAAAGCUUUCCACUUAGUAUUUAAUCAUGUGAAAUACUGCUAAACAUGUAGGUUUAGUGACAAUUUAUGCAUCCUGCUUAUGCAGGCCAAAUCCUAAAUGGUUUCUUGCCUCAGUCUCCCUCACCCCUUACCUUUCUGUAGCAAUCUCAGCAAAGUCUAGUGGCAGUUUCAAGAUUCCUAAUUACACUGGAUGAAAUUAAGGGUAAAAUGUAAGAAACAGUUUCUGAAAAUACAGCUCCCCCUCUCCCUUAAACAACUGGAUCCACAACUGGAUCCACAACUGGAUCCACAACUGGUCACUUCUUAUCUUGCAGCAACUAAUUUUAUGCACAAUUUCUCUGGAGAUGGCAUGUCACUUUCAUUUCAUUACUUGCCGUACCACUAAAAAUAUAAGUGAAAUGGAAAUUCAUUUAAUCUGAAUGAAUAUUUAAUAUGCAUUGUGAAAGUUUUUUUUUUGUAGCAUAAGCCAGCAAUGAGGGGAAGGAAAAGGCUGUAAAGGACUAAAUGUGGUUUCACAUGGCAUGGAUAAGCACACACUUCAAACUACUACUUGCUAACUUACUCAGUGUUCAUAAGUAUGAGUCAUGCCUACAACCCUGACCACUCAAGCUUGUCACCUCGACGAUAGGCCCAUUCCCAGACCCCUUGUGGGAUGGGAAUAGUCUAAGCAUCCAUCCAUUCCAAACAAGUGUGAACAUGUUAUACAGCUUAAUACAGCUUGGUAGGGUUUCAAAACUGAGGGAGAUGGACUUGCAACUGAGAGAACCCAGGUCCUAGUCUAGUACUUGGUUCCGAUGUUUGUGGUUUCCCGAACCCACACCACGCCAAAUCAACAUCGUUUUUUAAGUACACAAUAAAUUUCCACUCAAAAAUAUUAA